CGCAUUGCGGCAGCUAUAAUGCAGUCGACGAACUUCCGUUAAUUGAUUAUGACGUACUUGUACUGAUUGAGAUUUUAACACGAAGUGAGUGGCGAACGGGUGAGUAACACGUGGGUAACCUGCCCAGAAGUAGGGGAUAACACCUGGAAACAGAUGCUAAUACCGUAUAACAGAGAAAACCGCAUGGUUUUCUUUUAAAAGAUGGCUCUGCUAUCACUUCUGGAUGGACCCGCGGCGUAUUAGCUAGUUGGUGAGGUAAAGGCUCACCAAGGCAGUGAUACGUAGCCGACCUGAGAGGGUAAUCGGCCACAUUGGGACUGAGACACGGCCCAGACUCCUACGGGAGGCAGCAGUAGGGAAUCUUCCACAAUGGACGCAAGUCUGAUGGAGCAACGCCGCGUGAGUGAAGAAGGGUUUCGGCUCGUAAAGCUCUGUUGUUAAAGAAGAACGUGGGUAAGAGUAACUGUUUACCCAGUGACGGUAUUUAACCAGAAAGCCACGGCUAACUACGUGCCAGCAGCCGCGGUAAUACGUAGGUGGCAAGCGUUAUCCGGAUUUAUUGGGCGUAAAGCGAGCGCAGGCGGUCUUUUAAGUCUAAUGUGAAAGCCUUCGGCUCAACCGAAGAAGUGCAUUGGAAACUGGGAGACUUGAGUGCAGAAGAGGACAGUGGAACUCCAUGUGUAGCGGUGAAAUGCGUAGAUAUAUGGAAGAACACCAGUGGCGAAGGCGGCUGUCUGGUCUGCAACUGACGCUGAGGCUCGAAAGCAUGGGUAGCGAACAGGAUUAGAUACCCUGGUAGUCCAUGCCGUAAACGAUGAUUACUAAGUGUUGGAGGGUUUCCGCCCUUCAGUGCUGCAGCUAACGCAUUAAGUAAUCCGCCUGGGGAGUACGACCGCAAGGUUGAAACUCAAAAGAAUUGACGGGGGCCCGCACAAGCGGUGGAGCAUGUGGUUUAAUUCGAAGCUACGCGAAGAACCUUACCAGGUCUUGACAUCUUCUGA
rnacentral:rRNA from 1 species